rnacentral:misc_RNA from 1 species
UCUCCGUAGGUGAACCUGCGGAGGGAUCAUUACAGAGUUCUCGCCCUCGCGGGUAGAUCUCCCACCCACUGUUAUCGUUACUGUGUUGCUUUGGCGGGCCGCCGGGCCCCGCUCGGCCGCCGGCUCCGGCUGGCAAGCGCCCGCCAGAGGACCCAAAACCCUGAAUAUUAGUGUCGUCUGAGUACUAUAUAAUAGUUAAAACUUUCAACAACGGAUCUCUUGGUUCUG